rnacentral:rRNA from 1 species
GACUGACUGGCUCGAUACUGACACUGAGGUGCGAAAGCGUGGGAGCAAACGGGAUUAGAUACCCCGGUAGUCACGCCGUAAACGAUGUCUACUAGCCGUUGGAGGACUUGAUCCUUUAGUGGCGCAGCUAACGCGAUAAGUAGACCGCCUGGGGAGUACGGUCGCAAGAUUAAAACUCAAAUGAAUUGACGGGGGCCCGCACAAGCGGUGGAGCAUGUGGUUUAAUUCGAAGCAACGCGAAGAACCUUACCUACUCUUGACAUCCAGUGAACUUUUGAGAGAUCAAUUGGUGCCUUCGGGAACACUGAGACAGGUGCUGCAUGGCUGUCGUCAGCUCGUGUUGUGAAAUGUUGGGUUAAGUCCCGUAACGAGCGCAACCCUUGUCCUUAGUUACCAUCAUUAAGUUGGGGACUCUAAGGAGACUGCCGGUGACAAACCGGAGGAAGGCGGGGACGACGUCAAGUCAUCAUGGCCCUUACGAGUAGGGCUACACACGUGCUACAAUGGCAUGUACAAAGGGUUGCCAAGCCGCGAGGUGGAGCUAAUCCCAUAAAGCAUGUCGUAGUCCGGAUUGGAGUCUGCAACUCGACUCCAUGAAGUCGGAAUCGCUAGUAAUCGUGAAUCAGAAUGUCACGGUGAAUACGUUCCCGGGCCUUGUACACACCGCCCGUCACACCAUGGGAGUGGGUUGCUCCAGAAGUAGAUAGCUUAACCUUCGGGAGGGCGUUUACCACGGAGUGAUUCAUGACUGGGGUGAAGUCGUAACAAGGUAGCCGUA